rnacentral:rRNA from 1 species
AAAAGGUGGCUAUGCUACCGCUUUUGGAUGGGCCCGCGGUGCAUUAGCUAGUUGGUGGGGUAAAGGCUUACCAAGGCAAUGAUGCGUAGCCGAACUGAGAGGUUGAUCGGCCACAUUGGGACUGAGACACGGCCCAAACUCCUACGGGAGGCAGCAGUAGGGAAUCUUCCACAAUGGGCGAAAGCCUGAUGGAGCAACGCCGCGUGGGUGAAGAAGGUCUUCGGAUCGUAAAACCCUGUUGUUAGAGAAGAAAGUGCGUGAGAGUAACUGUUCACGUUUCGACGGUAUCUAACCAGAAAGCCACGGCUAACUACGUGCCAGCAGCCGCGGUAAUACGUAGGUGGCAAGCGUUAUCCGGAUUUAUUGGGCGUAAAGGGAACGCAGGCGGUCUUUUAAGUCUGAUGUGAAAGCCUUCGGCUUAACCGGAGUAGUGCAUUGGAAACUGGGAGACUUGAGUGCAGAAGAGGAGAGUGGAACUCCAUGUGUAGCGGUGAAAUGCGUAGAUAUAUGGAAGAACACCAGUGGCGAAAGCGGCUCUCUGGUCUGUAACUGACGCUGAGGUUCGAAAGCGUGGGUAGCAAACAGGAUUAGAUACCCUGGUAGUCCACGCCGUA